rnacentral:tRNA from 1 species
GGAGACGUAUCGAAGAGGUCAUAACGAGCUCGACUCGAAAUCGAGUUGCCGGUUAAUUCCGGCACGCGGGUUCGAAUCCCGCCGUCUCCG